rnacentral:lncRNA from 1 species
GACUAUCCAACGGUUCAAACCUAUCAAACCCGGAUAACGUACAACAGGCGAAAUUCGUUUGGGGUUCGAACGUCAACCAAAUUGGAAAUCUGAGCACACCUAUGCACUCGUGACAACAAGGGGAUCACAUCGGGACACAAUGCCCCAUUUCUACGGUGCCCACGCACCACCACACGCACCAGCAGCGUGUGGGUGUCCAAAGCGAUUACGCAUUGCUGGAAAAUCUCAAAACCACGGCUCAAGACUCCUACCCUAGGUAUAACACCCUAUUUGGAAU